rnacentral:rRNA from 1 species
AUGAAUCUCCUUGCGUGGAACUGUCGGGGACUGGGGUUGGACUCGAUAGUUGGCGAACUGCGAGAUCUUAUACGGUCUCACAACACAGCGGUGGUUUUCCUGUCAGAAACAAAAAAAUCAGCUACAGCGAUGGAGCGUUUGAAGUGGAGUUUGGGGUUUACUAAUGGAGUUGCUGUGGGUUGUAAGGGAAGAAGUGGGGGUUUGGCGUUGUGGUGGAGGGAUCAC